rnacentral:rRNA from 1 species
UACGUAGGGUGCAAGCGUUGAUCGGAAUAUCUGGGCGUAAAGCGUGCGCAGGCGCCAUGCAAGACAGAUGUGAAAUCCCCGGGCUCAACUUGGGAACUGCAUUUGUGACUGCAUGGCUAGAGUACGGCAGAGGGGGGAUGGAAUUCCGCGUGUAGCAGUGAAAUGCGUAGAUAUCGAGAGGAACACCUGCGGCGAAGGCGGGUUGCUGGGCUGAUACUGACGCUGAGGCGCGAAAGCCAGGGGAGCGAACGGG